ACGCUCGACACCUACGGGAGGCAGCAGUGGGGAAUAUUGCACAAUGGAGGAAACUCUGAUGCAGCGAUGCCGCGUGAGGGAAGAAGGUUUUCGGAUUGUAAACCUCUGUCUUUGGGGACGAUAAUGACGGUACCCAAGGAGGAAGCUCCGGCUAACUACGUACCAGCAGCCGCGGUAAUCUGAGCGGGCUGGCAAGGC
rnacentral:rRNA from 1 species